rnacentral:lncRNA from 1 species
UUACUGUGGCCUUUGUGUUAUGCCGAUUGCGUGAUCACGCUAGCAGCGAGUAGAUAUGGUUGUCCUUGUUCAGAUCCAUUGGACUUGUCUCAACAAUAUUCCUAUCUGCCAGGACAUUGCAGGAUAUCUAGGUUGACUUGUUUUCCCUGGCUUUGUAAAGACUACUGUAAGGAUUGACGCAGGAGAUGAGAAGCAGGUACAGGAUGUGAAGGUUUAUUAGCUGACGGACAUGAAACGGAACAGGAACAGGGUCUGGACAGGAACACAUAACAAUUUAUGCGGACACAGGGAACACCACUGAGGAACAGACAGAUAUACAGGGGGUAAUCAACAACGUGAAGGAGUCCAGGUGUGUCCAAUAAGCGCUGCUGCGCGUAAUGAUGGUGAAAGGUGCCGUGUAAAGAAGGGUAGCCUGGCGCCAGAGAGGGGGAGCAGGAGCAGGCGUGACAACUACAGCCUGAUGGGAGCCAUAGUUCCUUGUUUCCACCCUCGAAGGCAUUUUGUAUAACAACAAAGCCAACUCCAAGUGGUUGAAAAGAGGAAGAAAGGGAAUGUUGUGAAAUGCACCUUUAUUCUCACCUAUGGAGGCUGAGUGAAGAUGAGUGGGUCGUUCCUCCUCCAGUGUGACAAAAGAACCAUAAAGAAUAUGGAUGUGAGAGAUAUAGAGAGAUCAACCUGAGGUGGGAGCUGGAGCAGAACUCCAAUUCAUCACCACAACCUAACCCUUUCUCUGUUUUAUCUGACUCUGGAGAGCGUUUACUAUUCACCUCCAUUCUACUCCUGCUCUUUUCAUUCCUCCCGCUCUACUACUAUACUGCAUAGCUGUCUCACUCUCUUCACUUCUCCUCCCUCUACCCUGGAAGGGAUGCUGUCAUCUACUAUCAUCUGUGUCGUUAACAGGGAAGGGAUCAAAGUGUGGACCGAGUCUCAGGAGCGAGCAGAUCAAAGUUAGGAUAUAUUCUCAUCUGGAAUGAGGAUGGAGCCUGAUCAAGGUUUCAGGAAGGGGAGGUCUGAUCUUACAGAGGGACUUUAACCAUCAAACACCAAGGGAGCUUAAUGCAAAGGAACAUGAGGCAUAGUUCCACACACAACACAUUCUAGUUCACAAAGAGGAUCACAUUAGAAAAUGUUGUACAAUUAUUUUUUUUUAAGUAUACUUUCUUGCCACAAACUCUUCUGCCGAUGUUGUUCAAUAUAUUUAUAUGUUGCAGGAAAGAAAACUACAUGCUGUUCAUGUAUCCUAAACUUGCUACAGGGCAGUGUGUGAUCCCUGCUGGUCUAAGAAGAAGUGCUACAGAGAGGAGAGGAGAUAAAGGACUGGGAGAUCUAGAGAGAGGAUGGUAUUCUUGAUUAAUAUUUCUAUUUGUAUGUUCAUAAUUCACAGCAUAAGAGCUCCAGAGUUCCAAGAUG